UACGUAGGGCGCAAGCGUUGUUCGGAAUUACUGGGCGUAAAGGGCGCGUAGGCGGCCUUCUAAGUCAGACGUGAAAUCCCCCGGCUUAACCUGGGAACUGCGUCUGAUACUGGAGGGCUUGAGUAUGGGAGAGGGAUGUAGAAUUCCAGGUGUAGCGGUGAAAUGCGUAGAUAUUCGCAAGAACACCAGUGGCGAAGGCGGCUCACUGGCCCGGUACUGACGCUGAGGUGCGAAAGCGUGGGGAGCAAACAGG
rnacentral:rRNA from 1 species